GACGAACGCUGGCGGCGUGCUUAACACAUGCAAGUCGAACGAAGAGCGAUGGAAGCUUGCUUCUAUCAAUCUUAGUGGCGAACGGGUGAGUAACGCGUAAUCAACCUGCCCUUCAGAGGGGGACAACAGUUGGAAACGACUGCUAAUACCGCAUACGAUCUAAUCUCGGCAUCGAGGAUAGAUGAAAGGUGGCCUCUACAUGUAAGCUAUCACUGAAGGAGGGGAUUGCGUCUGGUUAGCUAGUUGGAGGGGUAACGGCCCACCAAGGCGAUGAUCAGUAGCCGGUCUGAGAGGAUGAACGGCCACAUUGGGACUGAGACACGGCCCAGACUCCUACGGGAGGCAGCAGUGGGGAAUCUUCCGCAAUGGACGAAAGUCUGACGGAGCAACGCCGCGUGAGCGAUGACGGCCUUCGGGUUGUAAAGCUCUGUUAAUCGGGACGAAAGGCCUUCUUGCGAAUAGUGAGAAGGAUUGACGGUACCGGAAUAGAAAGCCACGGCUAACUACGUG
rnacentral:rRNA from 1 species